UGGGGAAUCUUGCGCAAUGGACGAAAGUCUGACGCAGCCACGCCGCGUGAGUGAAGAAGGCCUUCGGGUUGUAAAGCUCUGUCACCUGGGACGAAAACACUUAGGGUUAACAGCCUUAGGAAUUGACGGUACCAGGGGAGGAAGCACCGGCUAACUUCGUGCCAGCAGCCGCGGUAAUACGAAGGGUGCAAGCGUUGCUCGGAAUUAUUGGGCGUAAAGGGUUGGUAGGUGGUCUUGUUUGUCUAAGGUGAAAUCCCAUGGCUUAACUGUGGAAGUGCCUUAGAAACGGCAAGACUAGAGUCCUAGAGGGGUUUGUGGAAUUCCCGGUGUAGCGGUGAAAUGCGUAGAGAUCGGGAGGAACACCAGCGGCGAAGGCGGCAAACUGGAUAGGCACUGACACUCAACAACGAAAGCGUGGGGAGCAAACAGG
rnacentral:rRNA from 1 species